GUUUCUGUAGUGUAGUGGUUAUCACAUUUGCUUUACAUGCAAAAGGUCUCUGGAAAGGUCUCAGAAAGAAACA
rnacentral:tRNA from 1 species